rnacentral:lncRNA from 1 species
GUUGCAACAAACUUGUUUUCUAAUCAACUGAUGAAUUCUCCAUGAAACAAAUGUAUUGCCAAUUGAAUAGACCAAAGGAGGGUAAGGUACCCUGUCCAGGAGUCAAAUCACAGACCAAUUUUGGCUCUUCAAUGUUUGAAAAGGCCAAUGGGAUUUGUUCUGUAUCUCAUUCUCAUCUCAGGUAGAUUUCACAAUUACCAUCAACCAAAUAAUUCUUCAUCAGUCGAGCACCAAAAAUGUAAAUUUUUCUUAAUGCAGACAGGGAGACAGAGCAGCAGAGGCAACAUGGCUUGAGUUGAGAGACAACCAAUUAA